GACGAACCGUGCGAGCGUUAUUCGGAAUCACUGGGCUUAAAGCGCGUGUAGGCGGUUGGGAACGUCGGUCGCUGAAAUCCCCCGGCUCAACCGGGGAACGGGCGCCGAAACGACCCGUCUGGAGGGACGUAGGGGGACCUGGAACUUCCGGUGGAGCGGUGAAAUGCGUUGAGAUCGGAAGGAACGCCCGUGGCGAAAGCGAGGUCAUGGACGUCUACUGACGCUGAGACGCGAAAGCUAGGGUAGAGAACGGG
rnacentral:rRNA from 1 species